GAGGCUCAACUUGAUUCCCAGCUGUUUUUUUAACCGGAGAAGGAGUUCAACUGUAUCUGAAGGGGAGGAACUACAAGUCUCCUCAGAGACCAAAGAAGAUCUUUCUCAUCCACUAACAACUGGACAGGAUCAAUCUGAAGAUGUGGAUCAUCAGCAGAGUCAGGGAAAGAGACAUGGGGAAGGGACAAAAACCAAAGGGUUAAAGAAACAAGAGGCAACAGGGA